rnacentral:rRNA from 1 species
UGGGGAAUUUUGGACAAUGGGCGAAAGCCUGAUCCAGCAAUGCCGCGUGUGUGAAGAAGGCCUUCGGGUUGUAAAGCACUUUUGUCCGGAAAGAAAUCCUUGGCUCUAAUACAGUCGGGGGAUGACGGUACCGGAAGAAUAAGCACCGGCUAACUACGUGCCAGCAGCCGCGGUAAUACGUAGGGUGCAAGCGUUAAUCGGAAUUACUGGGCGUAAAGCGUGCGCAGGCGGUUUGCUAAGACCGAUGUGAAAUCCCCGGGCUCAACCUGGGAACUGCAUUGGUGACUGGCAGGCUAGAGUAUGGCAGAGGGGGGUAGAAUUCCACGUGUAGCAGUGAAAUGCGUAGAGAUGUGGAGGAAUACCGAUGGCGAAGGCAGCCCCCUGGGCAAUACUGACGCUCAUGCACGAAAAGCGUGGGGAGCAAAACAGGAUUAGAUACCCUGGUAGUCCACGCCCUAAAACGAUGUCAACUAGUUGUUGGGGAUUCAUUUCCUUAGUAACGUAGCUAACGCGUGAAGUUGACCGCCUGGGGAGUACGGUCGCAAGAUUAAAACUCAAAUGAAUUGACGGGGUCAUAGCUGUUUCC